AUGUGUGCAAUGCUUCACAUGAUUCAAAUGAAUCAAAAUCUUCAGGUGUGUAAGUUACUCAAAAUUCUUUAUGGACUCAAGCAAUCAAGUAGGAAAUGGUAUGAAAAGUUGACAUCAUUGCUGACUCAGGAAGAUGAUGUCAUAUUAGCAUGCACCUCCCUUGCUGAAUUUCAGAGAAUUAAGACCACACUUGACUGCAACUUUAAGAUUAAAGACUUAGGAGUCCUCAAUUAUUUUCAAGGAUUUGAAGUAGCUCAUUCCAAGUCUUGUAUAACCAUCUCACAGAGGAAAUAUUGCUUAGACCUACUUAAUGAUUCAUGUCUGUUGGUAUCUAACCCUGCUGCUAGUCCACUUGAUCCAUCCAUUAAACUACAUCACGAUAAUGGAAAACCCUUUGAGAACAUAGCUGCAUACAGAAGACUCAUAGGCAUAUUAGUAUACCUCAACACAACACGACCAGAUAUCACUUUUUCCACUCAAAAACUCAGUCAAUUCCUUCAUGCUUCAACCAUAACACGUUUUAAUGUAGCUUGUAGAGUGGUAAGAUAUCUCAAGCACAACCCUGGCAGAGGCCUCCUCUUUCCCAGAAACUUUGAGGUACAAAUUCCAGGCUAUUCUGACUGUGACUGGGCAAGUUGUAUUGAUUCUCGAAGGUCUAUCUCUGACUAUUGCCCUUUUAUUGGUUCCUCCCUGAUUUCCUGGCGUGCUAAAAAGCAACAAACAAUUUACAGAUCUUCUUUUGAGGCAAAGUACAGAUCUCUCUCCACUGACACCUGUGAGUUACAAUGGUUGCUACACUUGUUCAAGGACUUGUAUGUUAUCUCUACAAGACAACAUGUUCUA